GCUAAGCUACGACUUGCAAUUAAACAUGGCAUUCAUAAUGCGACUUUAUCUUGUCAUGGAUAAUAUAUAUAUCUACAUGUUCAUAAGUAAUAUCAUGAUUUACUUUAUACAGAUAUGAAAGUGAUACUUUGUCAUGACUACAGUGCAUAUAAGGAUGCAAUAAACAACAUCUCCUAGCAUACUACAUGUAUGUAUGAAUACCCAAAUGUCCACAACUAUACUAGAAGUAAGUCCAAGUAAUCCUACUACUACUCUCUGUCUAGUAGUGAUCAUAAUAAACUCAACACCGUGUCGAUUUCCAUUUCCAAUUAAGGACCUACCAAAGGUAGUCCAGCUUGUGCCGCCUAAGUGCCUGUGGUAGCCCAACAUCCCUACUCUUGGAAUGUGUCUGUCCCACUCGACCCCGUAGGCUUCUCAAUACCGCACGAGCGAACAUAGGUCGCGUAGGCUAACUCCGGAGUGCCGGCUUGUAGGGAGCGACCCUCACAAG
rnacentral:lncRNA from 1 species